rnacentral:lncRNA from 1 species
GGGGAGGCUACGGAUAGAAAGCCAGUAAUUAGUAUUAGGCUCUUUUCACCGAGGGAUCUGGUUAAGGAUAGGCUAAGAAAGUUGCAUGACAAUUAAUUAAUCAAACUAAUAAUUCAAGAGGAGUAAAUAAGAGAGUGUGGAUAAGAUGAANUUGUAAACCCCCNACAACUCCAUUCAUCCAUUGUUUUCUUUUGUCAAUUGAAUCAUUCUCUUUUNCAUGUUAAUAUUUUGUUCUCAAAUCCAAUUUAUUAAUUUUUAUUUUCAAGUCUUACGAUAUUAAUUCGCACGAACGAUAAGGCCUUUCGAGUCUCUUGGGAAAACAGUACUUGGUCUUACCAUUUAUAUUACUUGAACGAUUUGGUACACUUGCCAACCCGUCAACACUACACCAAAACCAAAACCACUGCUCUGUGCCUACUGCUGA